rnacentral:misc_RNA from 1 species
GAAGCCAGUGGAGUGUGAUAAUAAGAAACUAAAAACAUUUGUGAAGGCCCCUAAGCCGGAGAAGAUAGAGAGGGAACUAAAUUCAGUGAAAGCAGCAUUUGAAUGGGAUGUGUACAGACACAAUAUGAAGCCUACUGAAGAGCUUCAUCAUCACAUAGAAAAUGAAGGGAAAAUCAGAAUUUCUUAUGAGCAUGAAGAAGCAGGUCAAAUGCCUAAGCCCUAUGAACAGGAAGAAUGUGAGAGCAUAGCAAAAAUGCUGCAUGAACCAGAAAAAAAUACCGAACUUGAAAUCCAAGAGUUGGAUGAGAACAAAGAUAUGAAGGAACUAAAAGAG